UCAAAACUAGAUCCCAUCCUUCAAGAUCAUUGGCAUAUCCAAGUUUGCAAGUUUUUUUCCAGCUUUUCCACUACAUCAAUAUAUCAUUCCAGGUCUUGAAAUGUUGUUUUUACCUUUUUCAGAAUGUACGCCAAAUGAAAUUUAAAGAAUUUCUAAACAACACAGGAAAUGUUGAUUGAGCCAUUACUGCGCAGGUGACAUCGUACAUAACAGAGCUUCAAGCAUCAGGAUCAGUGACUGACAACAUGUCUGUUAAGUCAAGAGUGACGGACGCUGAAGGAGGGAGAAAGUCACUAUCUU